GACAGAGGGUGCAAACGUUGUUCGGAAUUACUGGGCGUAAAGCGUCUGUAGGUGGCUUUUUAUGUCCGCCGUCAAAUCCCAGGGCUCAACCCUGGACAGGCGGUGGAAACUACCAAGCUGGAGAACGGUAGGGGCAGAGGGAAUUUCCGGUGGAACGGUGAAAUGCGUAGAGAUCGGAAAGAACACCAACGGCGAAAGCACUCUGCUGGGCCGACACUGACACUGAGAGACGAAAGCUAGGGGAGCGAAUGGG
rnacentral:rRNA from 1 species